CACCCAUUUAAAUCACAGUAACUAUUACGGCGUUACUGAAUGGGAAUAGGUAACUAGUAACGUUAUUAGUUACCUCAAAAGGUAGUUGCGUUACAAGUAACGCUUAUUACAUUACACUGAAUUUAGCUGUUGCUU